rnacentral:rRNA from 1 species
UACGGAGGGGGCUAGCGUUGUUCGGAAUUACUGGGCGUAAAGCGCACGUAGGCGGCUUUGUAAGUUAGAGGUGAAAGCCCGGGGCUCAACUCCGGAAUUGCCUUUAAGACUGCAUCGCUAGAAUUGUGGAGAGGUAAGUGGAAUUCCGAGUGGUAGAGGUGGAAAUUCGUAGAUAUUCGGAAGAAACACCAGUGGCGGAAGGCGACUUACUGGACACAUAUUGACGCUGAGGUGCGAAAGCGUGGGGAGCAAACAGG